AUUGAACGCUGGCGGCAGGCCUAACACAUGCAAGUCGAGCGGAGCGGCGGACGGGUGAGUAAUGCCUAUGAAUCUGCCUGGUCGUGGGGGAUAACUUCCGGAAAGGGGCGCUAAUACCGCAUACUAUCAGAUGAGCCUAGGUGGGAUUAGCUAGUUGGUGGGGUAGAGGCCUACCAAGGCGACGAUCCGUACCUGGUCUGAGAGGAUGAUAAGUCACACUGGAACUGAGACACGGUCCAGACUCCGACGGGAGGCAGCAGUGGGGAAUAUUGGACAAUGGGCGAAAGCCUGAUCCAGCCAUGCCGCGUGUGUGAAGAAGGUCUUCGGAUUGUAAAGCACUUUAAGUUGGGAGGCGUUACCAACAGAAUAAGCACCGGCUAACUCCGUGCCAGCAGCCGCGGUAAUAC
rnacentral:rRNA from 1 species